rnacentral:misc_RNA from 1 species
GAGUCCUGCUUCCACAUUUACUAGCUGAUAUUCGUGAAGCUCUACUAAUGCAUCCUAUCUGGGAUAGUCAUAAUGCUCUGCUAGAGUCUCUCCUCUGUAAAUAUCAGGAUUUAGCAGUUUGUCCGCCUAUAAGAACCGUGAGGCUCCACCAGUCGUCCCUCUCUGGAAGUAUCACGAUUAUGUGUCAUUGUGUCACAUCCAUAAACACUGUUUUCCAAAGCUUUGUUAUGUGAUUGACCAGCAGGAAGUGGUUGUGAAUUUUGAGGCCAAGCUAAUGGCAGCAAUGGAGUUGUAACUACAUCGCUUUUCAGCAGAUGUGGAUGUGAGUGGUACCUAGGCUCUUCCAUCCACUUAGUUUGUCGAACAUGUUCAGGCUGUCUACUUUUAUCCAUGCGCCGCCCCUUAGUUAAAC